CCAUAAUUCGGGCAUUAACGGGCACAGGUAUGAGAGAUGGAGGGACCGUGUAGGAGGGACUUUGACAGGCCAUAGGCCGUAAAAUACUUGUCGCCCAGUGGUGUGAAAAGCAGAUUCUUUAACACUGGGGCUCACCCAGGAAAUCGGAACUGCUUCAACAGAUUCCGUUAGGCAGCACUCGGGGAACUACCCAAAUGGGGACUUACCCCUUGCCAGACUACUAGGGCUGGCAGUCCCACUUCCCAAGGGUAACAAUACCAACCUG